rfam:Salmo salar isolate Sally breed double haploid chromosome ssa04, whole genome shotgun sequence.
UGAAUGCACUAACUGUAGGUCGCUCUGGAUAAGAGCGUCUGCUAAAUGACUAAAA